UUUCCGUAGGUGAACCUGCGGAAGGAUCAUUAUCGAAUUUCGAGGGGAAGGAAGAUGAGGAGUGGAGACUGUCGCUGGCUUUCCCGCCUGGGGAGCAUGUGCACGCCUUGCUUUUUGUUGACCUUUCUCUUACUCUCACACCUGUGCACCCAUUGUAGGUCCUCGAAAGAGGAUCUAUGUUUUUAUCAUCACACGCAUCGUAUGUCCAUAGAAUGUAACAUGAUCGUCGAUCGACCUCGCGGUCGGGUGGCGGUCUAAAUAAAUAAAUGCAACUUUCAGCAACGGAUCUCUUGGCUCUC
rnacentral:misc_RNA from 1 species